ensembl:lncRNA
CCGCUGUGGGAAGUGCAGAGAGCCAACCCGGCCCGAUGCCACCUCCUUCCGCGAGCGCACAUCGAGGAAGCAGAGGGGCCGUGGGUGCCCACGGCUUUUGUCAUCAGCAUCCACUUGGCUGUGGGAGGGCCCAGCGUGGAAGGACGUAACGGAGCACCGGGGAACAGCCAGCUCGCAGCUACAGUCCCAUUAAAUCCUCUUUCUAUCCAUCCUGCGGUGCUUGCUCUGUGUGCUGAGGGACAGACACGUGGGCCACGGUGCUCCUGCUCCAGCUGCAACCGCUGCAGCAAAGCUGAGCAGGAGCU